UUGAGAAAAAAAAAAGGAAUUGGGAAAUUAAAUAAUUCCGAGAGGUGGAGAUGAAUACUGGGCAUAAACAUUUUAAACUUAAUUUCAAUAAAUUUUAAUAAUUUAAAAAUCUUGUGAUCCAUGUAACAUUUUAAAAAAAUUAUAGGUCAAUGCAAAUAUUUUAUGCGGUUGUGCCAAGAGACAAAAAAAACAGUCAAAGACAUCGUAAUAAUUUAUUCUUUAAAAUUAUCAUACCAACCCUAAUGGAUCGAUUAAAAAGGGGAGAUUUGGUAAGAAUUACCCAAUGACUAAACCCGGCUUAUAUAUAUUUCAACUUUUAAAACUUUUGACGGUUCUUAGAGACUAAAGUCAUUUUUAUGCAGCUUAAUGUGUUUUAUAAUAUAAAAAGCAUUCACGGAACUACGCAAUGACUAAACCCGGUGUGAAGAUAAGAACUUGAUGAGCAAGUCUUAGCAAUAUUCAAAUGCUAACCAAAGAAGAACUCAGGUUAAAGUAAGGUUUACUUGGGGUUGAGUUAGCAGACUUUAGACCACAAAGAAAAGGCUUACUAUUGGUGUAUAGGUCUGAGCACAAAACAGGACCGUUUGUCUCUAUGCGUUUGGCCUUAUCACAAUUGUAAGGGAGAAGUCUUUUGGCGUUUUGUAGCUGCACAAGACCAAGGUUGCUUCAUCCAUAAUAGUAGCAUUGGUCCAGAGAGAGAAAGCAGAGUAGAAGCGAGAGUGUUGAGCACACAAGAAGCAUUGUAAGGGCGAGAGAAACAAGAUGUAAAGGCGUAAGCCUUGGGUAGUUUCUAAGGGGUCUUACAGAGUGGUUUCCUUAGGCAUUCUUAGGAAAAUCACUUGUAACCUCUUGUAAUCCCUUUGUUCUAGUGGAUUCCGAGCAUAGUCUCGGCGAGAUGUAGCGACCCUCGUUAAUGGGCGUGAACUCGUUAAAUGUCUGUGUGUUCUCCUUCUCUUCUCUCUCACACUCUCUUAUCCAAAGCUCUCUCUGUUUCAUUCAUCUCAACAUAAAUCUGUUCUGUAUCUUUAAGUUAACACAACUAGAGUCUUGUCUGUUGGAGGAAAAUCUUAACACCCGGCUUAGAGUUUUAUCGAACUUGGUUGAACAUGGCUUAUGCAUGUAGUAUACAUAUAUGGACUUCAAACGUACACGGGAUGUUACUGUAGAGUUGUUAGAAUAAUUCGCAGCCGCUUUCCUAAAAGAUUGGAACUUCAGCAACAAAUAUGUUUUCGUUCGAUAAAAUUAAAAGCAACCAUUAUGAACCAAAAUACAUAAAUUAUAACUGGUGACAUAAAAGGAAACUGAUUAAUAUAUGGAGUAUACAGCAGAUUGAACUGACUAGACCUGGUCUUAAAUGGAGUGAGGGCCGGCUAAUUCUGAUUAAUAUCACAUACUAAUUCUGAUUGUAUCACAUACUAAUUCUGAUUGUAUCACAUCACCAAUUUCAUUGCUACCUGUCGAUUCCUAUAGUGAAAUAUGAACGCAGUUAGAGAGACAACUAAACUUAAAUUAUCUAAUAUAGUACGUUUGUUUUGUCCCAUAGUUAAACUUGUCUCAUUUAGCAAGUUUGUUUUACUCCACAAUCAUUUCGACCCCUAUUGGAAUUCAAUGAACGGUGUUAAUGAGAGCACUUUAGGUUUACUUACAUCAUCAUUUUCAUGGAAAAUUUUCAUUAAUAAGGAACUGUAAUCAGCUACUUGAACUGAACCACCAUAGAUGUGAUGUUUAAGACUGAGCGACAAAUUUAUGAAGGAGCAUAUUUUAUCACUGGAUUGUCAGCUACAAAUUCCGAGAAAACCAAGAGAUUGUUCUUCUAAAAAUCUACUUUCUCCAUUUCAAUUUAAUUAUCAUUCUAAAACAAAAAAAAAACAAAAUAAGUAUCGUUUUAUUAUUUCAAUGCAAAAUUUAUUACCAAGAGUUUCUUUUUUUUUUUCUAUUAGUUGAAAUAUGGUUAGGUAUAUAGAUAAUGAUGUUUUUAUUUUGAAAAUGUACACAAUUAAAUGUUUUUUAAUUUUUGUAUAUAAACUUAAAACGCCAAUUAAAAUAAAACGGAAUGAGUAUAGUCAUGACGUUUGACGUUGUUACAGUUUCAAUGAAAUUGUAUCGGCGUCGUUACACUUUCGUUUACAGAAUCAGGGAUGCAUUGUUUGCAUUGAGGUACGUUACGACAACCCCGUAGCUCGUAAUUUAAUACCACUACCACAUGUAAUGUUGUUAUUUUUUUAUUAAUUAAGAGUGUGCUAUUAAAAUGCUGAAAGUAAUACAAGAAUAUGAAUUUUGGAUCAUAUAGUUUGGAAGAGCUUCUUUUUUUUUUUAAGUUUGGAAGAGCUGCUUAAGGAAGUAGUAGACAACAUAGUGUACAUUUCAUACUUCACAUGCAAUCACGAGGUCAGCUUGGAUCAUUAUAGUUUGGAAGAGCUGCUUAAGGAUGUAAUAAACUGAAUGUUAUUUCAAAGCUUACAUAUUUCACAUGCAAUAUUGAAGUCAUUUAUCGUUAUGUUUCAUAUGUUGACUAAAAUAAGUAAACGUUCCAAAUUUGUAUUUCACGUUUUAAAAGAUUAAGAGGACAUCCAAUACAGUUUUCUAUCGUUUUCUUUUUCUUGCUUCUUUUUUUGGUGGAUUUAGUACUUGUCUUUUCGAAUUGUCCAGUUGAUGAAAUAUGAAAUGAAAUUUGUAACCAGGUUCCUAUUACUUUUUAAAAAAGUUGGGAAGAUUUCCGCUAGAUAAUUUGGCUUUAUUCUAUACGAUAAUUUCACCAUAAACAUUGCGCGUCUGGUUCACAUGUUGUAAAACUCAUCAAAGACAAAAUGUAAGAUGUUGAAGACAAGUUUCAGACCAUGAUUAAUCCGGACUCUUAGGGUGAGGUUUUUCGGCUAAGAACCGUUUCUUAGCUUUUAACUAAGAAAAGUUAAAAACUGUCUUUUAAAUAAAAUAUAUAAGAGCCGGUUCUUAGCCAAAAAAUGUAAAAAAAAGUAUCAAAUCAUGAAUUGAGAACCCCAAAUUAAGAGUCCGGAUUAAUCAUGAUCUCACACACUAUUAUAUUUUUGGACCACCACCAUGUCCAGUCGUACUACGAUUAUAACCAGUAAGAAGCAAAAAAAGAAAACACAAUAUAUAUUUGUUAUACAGUCCUUCUAUCAUCUAUGAUUAUCACUAGGCAGUGUGCAAACCCCACAUAGUCAUAAAAGUGAAACACAUACAAGAUAUGUGUUCUGUGAUCGUUUUGUCAUCUAUAAUACUAACAACUGUUGGGGGUAGAUUUACAUCCUCCUCAAAGCCCAUUACACAUUUAACUAGGCUCAUAUUGCUAGGAAGUCUUAGGCUUCAUCUUUCUAUAAAUAAGGAGAUCUUCCUUAUGAGAAAAGGGAUCUUCUCUCAUUUUACACAUUAAACACUUCAUACAAAGAGCUUAUUGAUUCUUAGAUUUAUUUACACUUGUAAUGAUACAUGUAUAUAAUCUUUAAUCAAUAAAUUCUUUUUGAUGUUAUUUUUCCAUUUGAUUUCUAUGUUGAUUUCUCUUUAGCCUCAAGAAUUUAAGAAAUCUAUUUCUUAAAUUUUUCAUUGUAUGAAUCCGACAAACACACCAUUUUCGGUUCAAACAGUUGGCGCUAGAAGGAGGGGGCAAAGAGAACAAUGUUCACAGCAUAUCAAACUUGGGAAAACCCUAGAUCUAGGGUAAAAAAAAACCUAGAUUCUCUUCUUCUUCUUUCAAUCCUCAGCCAUGCUCCCACGUCGCGCACCUCUCGCUGUCCCUAAAGUCCGCCGCGUCGGUUUCUUCACCUCAAUCGAACCCUCACCGGAGACGCCACGUCCAAAUCGAAGCCUAUCCGGUCCGGCGGAGGCGAUAACCUCCUCGUCUCCUCUCUCCGAUUCGCCCCCCGGUCAAUUCAUUUCUCCAGUUCAGAUACCGCUGUCGAGCCACCAUUUGGAUAACUUGGCCUCUCGCGCUUCUCCCGUCCCCGUCCCCGUCCCCGUCCCCGUCCCCGGACCUUCCGCGUUCCAUCGACAGCUGGCGAGUGACAGGGCUCUCCUCGUCGGGAGUUAUAAUCCUAUGGAUUCGCUGCUUGGGACAUCGCCGCCGUCGAGUAACGGAGAGGUGUCUGAGGAUUCGGGGUCCUUGUUUUCUCCAUGUACAGAAGGACCUGUGCUAUAAGCCCAACUCCCAGCAACUUGAGAAGCUAGAAGAUCUGACGUUCUUGGGUGUUUUGGCCUUCCUGACUCAUGAUCUCACAGUCAUGCUUCUGAGUAGCAUCCGCAUCUUCACAGGACGUAUCAACAACUUCGUUUCUGUCAGAUGUUUGUCAACUGUUUAUUCCCUGGCGGCGUUUGCGAGCGUUGUUCGAAAUUGCAGUGAGGACGCCCUAUACGUUCGAGUCGUAGCUUUGCAGCGGCUGAGAGGCGAUGUUAGCAGCGACGGAGACGAUGGAGUCCUUGGAGUUCAUCGACGAAGAUGAGAAGAGUCUGAUUCUUCUUGUAUCCUUGGCAACAAGAUCCCGAGAAGCCACCACUAGUUGCUCCCUGCAACUCAGCAAAACUCAGAAAAUUCUUGAGAUGCUUCUGUUUCUUACAGUGAGAAGGAAAUAAAGAAAGGCUCCCAACCAUUUCUUCACCGCAAAGAUAAGCCCUUUAACUGAAUCAUCACGUGCAUUAAUCACCUUAAUAUUAUACAUAUGUGUCAUGGUGAACAUUAUAGCUGUGGUUUAUUAUUUAAAAAAAAAACUCCUUAUAUUAUACAUAUGUCUCGCUCUCAUCAUAGCUAUGUCAUGAUUUAUGUUAUUGCUGAUGGCCUUUAGUAUAACUAGUUAGCAAUUAUCAUGUCCGUACGUUAUGCAAAAGUCGCUUGUUUCUUUUGGAUUUAUGUUGAUCUGAUCAUGACCAUACUUUUGUGAACCAAAGAUCGUUGAGCCAAAGGGAAAAAGAAUCAACAAACGAUUCAUGCUUCGAAAGAUGACUCUCAGCUACGAGCUCGUCGGAACCAGUACAAGCGACACAGACCAGCACGUUUCUCAACAUCAUCAUAGCCUGACAAACACACAAGCCAACAACUUGUUCGGCACACACGAUCUCAACACGCGACUUCGGGUCAGCAAUAGUUUGAGAUCGAUUCCAUCUCUCUCGACGAACUUGGGGGGACUUACUGUUGGGGGUGGAUUUACAUCCUCUUCAAGGCCCAUUAGACAUUGAACUAGGCUCAUAUUGCUAGGAAGUCCUAGGCUUCAUCUUUCUAUAAAUAAGGAGAUCCUCCUUAUGAGAAAAUGGAUCUUCUCCCAUUUUACACAUUAAACAUUUCAUACAAAGAGCUUAUUGAUUCUUAGAUUUAUUUACACUUGUAAUGAUACAUGUAUAUAAUCUUUAAUCAAUAAAUUCUUUUUGAUGUUA